GCCAUGGGGUGUAGAUUGGCCUGAGCAAAUGUGGUGCCGGUGGAACGAAAGCUUUAGGAGGAGUUAGCCACAUUCCAAUGUGUGCGAAUCGAUCAAAAAUGCGUAAUAGCCCUUUAACCGUACAUUUUACAGAUACGUGCGCAUUGACUUUUUCGUAGAUCUUAUUGAGAUACACGUGAUUGUCAAAUUUUGUUUCAAUAUGACAAAGCGUACAGGCGUGACACUCAACAAUGUGUAUUUUCACCUUAUGGGACAAGAAAAAAUGGACUUUUUUCUCCUGCCAUGGGGGGGCGCUCUUUUGGGGAGUAAAAAUUCCUUCACAAAUGUGUUGAUGGCUGGACAUUGCAUCAUCCUAGAAAACUUGGAGGCCAGUGAGGACAAAAAUAAAAAGUUAUAAGACUUUUAAGACUGUGGAUUUUUGGGUUAUCUUUGGCGCCCCCUAGAACGUAAACCGUGGGGUGCAGCGUCAUGAUUUGUACAACUUUUAAUGGCCAUGGGGUGUAGAUUGGCCUGAGCAAAUUUGGUGCCGGUGGAACGAAAGCCUUCAGAGGAGUUAGCGAAAUUCCAAUGUGUGCGGUUCCGCAAAAAAUGCGAAAUAGCCCUUUAACCGUACAUUUGACAGAUACGUGCGCAUAGACUUUUUUGUAGAUCUUAUUGAGAUACACGUGUGUGUCAAAUUUUAUGUCAAUAUGACAAAGCGUAUAGGCGUGACACUCAACAAUAUGUAUUUUCACCUUAGGGGACAAGAAAAAAUGGACUUUUUUCUCCUGCCAUGGGGGGGCGCUCUUUUGGGGAGUAAAAAUUCCUUCACAAAUGUGUUGAUGGCUGGACAUUGCAUCAUCCUAGAAAACUUGGAGGCCAGUGAGGACAAAAAUAAAAAGUUAUUAGACUUUUAAGAAUGUGGAUUUUUGGGUUAUCUUUGGCGCCCCCUAGAACGUAAACCGUGGGGUGCAGUGUCAUGAUUUGUACAACUUUUAAUGGCCAUGGGGUGUAGAUUGGCCUGAGCAAAUGUGGUGCCGGUGGAACGAAAGCCUUCGGAGGAGUUAGCGAAAUUCCACUGUGUGCGGAUCGGCAAAAAAUGCGAAAUAGCCCUUUAACCGUACAUUUGACAGAUACGCCCGCGCUGACUUUUUUGUAGAUCUUAUUGAGAUACACGUGUGUGUCAAAUUUUGUGUCAUUUUGACAAAGCGUACAGGUGUGACACUCAAUCAUGUGAAUUUUUCACCUUAGGGGGCGCUAUGGAGCCAUUUUGCAUUUGAUUGUUUGGGCGACUUCAGAAUAUCGAAUUUUUCACCAGGCCCGGUCGUCCUGCCAAAUUUCAUGAGUUUUCACCAGUGGGAAGUGGGCCAUUUUCCAGUUCAAAGGGGCAGAAAAAUAAUAAGACUAGGGCCCCGUUGGGGCACUGGCGGGCCCGAGCCGUGUCGCGCUGCCCCCAACACGACCGCCUCUCCCUACCGAUCGCGUCACACUCAAGGUCCAAAGAUGGUGUGCGCACUUGUCUGUGGUCAUUUACAAUUAUAAUGAAUGGGAGGCGCAGUUUCUACCAAAACGCUCGCCGCAGACAAACUCCAUGUCCUAUUUGAAAAGGACUGGACCAUGAGUGAGGGCACAAACACAGCUAGGAUAUAUCCAAAUGGCAAGUUGCUCCUCCUUUCGCUUUUGCCGAGAGAGCGAUGCGAUUGAGCCAUUGAGCGAUGGGCAGGAAAAACUUGACUUUUUCUCCUGCCAUGGGGGGAGGGGGGGGGGUGUGGAUUCUUUUAAGAAUGUGGAUAUUUGGGUCAUCUUUGGCACCCCCUAGAACGUAAACCGUGGGGUGCAGCGUCAUGAUUUUUACAACUUUGAAUGGCCAUGGGGUGUAGAUUGGCCUGAGCAAAUUUGGUGUCAGUGGGACGAAAGCCUUAGGAGGAGUUAGCCACAUUCCAAUGUGUGCGAAUCGGCAAAAAAUGCAAAAUAGCCCUUUAACCGUACAUUUUACAGAUAUUUGCGCAUGACUUUUUCAUAGAUCUUAUUGAGAUACACGUGAUUGUCAAAUUUUGUGUCAUUUUGACAAAGCGUACAGGCGUGACACUCAACAAUGUGUAUUUUCACCUUAUGGGACAAGAAAAAAUGGACUUUUUUCUCCUGCCAUGGGGGGGCGCUCUUUUGGGGAGUAAAAAUUCCUUCACAAAUGUGUUGAUGGCUGGACAUUGCAUCAUCCUAGAAAACUUGGAGGCCAGUGAGGACAAAAAUAAAAAGUUAUAAGACUUUUAAGACUGUGGAUUUUUGGGUUAUCUUUGGCGCCCCCUAGAACCUAAACCGUGGGGUGCAGCGUCAUGAUUUGUACAACUUUGAAUGGCCAUGGGGUGUAGAUUGUCCUGAGCAAAUUUGUUGCCGGUGGAACGAAAGCCUUCGGAGGAGUUAGCGAAAUUCCAAUGUGUGCGGAUCGGCAAAAAAUGCGAAAUAGCCCUUUAACCGUACAUUAUACACAUACGCGCUCUUUGACUUUUUCGUAGAUCUUAUUGAGAUACACGUGUGUGUCAAAUUUUGUGUCAAUAUGACAAAGCGUUCAGGCAUGACACUCAACAAUGUGUAUUUUCACCUUAGGGGACAAGAAAAAAUGGACUUUUUUCUCCUGCCAUGGGGGGGCGCUCUUUUGGGGAGUAAAAAUUUCUUCACAAAUGUGUUGAUGGCUGGACAUUGCAUCAUCCUAGAAAACUUGGAGGCCAGUGAGGACAAAAAUAAAAAGUUAUAAGACUUUUAAGACUGUGGAUUUUUGGGUUAUCUUUGGCGCCCCCUAGAACCUAAACCGUGGGGUGCAGCGUCAUGAUUUGUACAACUUUUAAUGGCCAUGGGGUGUAGAUUGUCCUGAGCAAAUUUGUUGCCGGUGGAACGAAAGCCUUCGGAGGAGUUAGCGAAAUUCCAAUGUGUGCGGAUCGGCAAAAAAUGCGAAAUAGCCCUUUAACCGUACAUUUGACAGAUACGCCCGCACUGACUUUUUUGUAGAUCUUAUUGAGAUACACAUGUGUGUCAAAUUUUGUGUCAUUUUGACAAAGCGUACAGGCGUCAGGUGAGUUUUCACCAUAGGGGGCGCUAUGGAGCCAUUUUUCAUUUUUUUGUUUGGGCGACUUCAGAAUAUCGAAUUUUUCACCAGGCCCGGUCGUCCUGCCAAAUUUCCUGAGUUUUCGCCAGUGGGAAGUGGGCCAUUUUCCAGUUUAAAGCGGAGGAAAAAUAACGAAAGAAGAAUCCAUCAGGAACAAGAGGGCUCUCGCAGCUGCUUAGCAGCUAUGCUCGGGCCCUAACUAGGACCCCGUUGGGGCACUGGCGGGCCCGAGCUGUGUCGCGUCCCCCCCCAACGCGCUGCCUCCCCGUCCCAUUUGUGUCCUCUGGCCAUCGCCCUCUCUGGUAACGCCCAUCACUGCAAAGACCCUUUUCCUUCAUCGGCGUUUGCUGUUCUUCCUGCCAGUGCGUGUUGCUUUCACUUACACUUGCCACAGCCAGCCUCUUGAGUGCCUAGCCUAUUGGAUAUCACUGUCACCUACUCAGGACAGUCAUUACCUUUCUAUUAAUACUUUGUUUUUUAAUUUCACAUUAAUUUCCAUAUUGUAUAAACAACUGGAAAAAACUUGAGCCCCUGCCCCUGUAUAAUCAUGUGCACGUCUCUGUUCUAGCUCUAAGGUGAAUCUUCACUGCUCAUGUUCUCCUCAGAAGCAGUCACCUCACUCCCCUCAGGUUACUGUACACAUGCACCAACUGCCUGCUUCAGGUUUGGAUGGAGCUUCAUGGUUGUCUUUUGGAGAAAUGACCAGUCAAGUUGUGUUUGAAAUUUGAUUUUUUUCAGGGGCAAAAGGAGCCUCUGCAUUCUUGUCAAAUAUGUAAAUAGCAUGUUUUUGCAGGUGCUAAAAACCAGACUCUGAGUGUGUGUGUGUGCGUGUGUGUGUGUGUGUGUGUGUGUGUGUGUGUGCGUUCAAGUCACAUGACAUAUUUAACCGGAUGUAGCUGCAAGACGGAGCCUCGUUGACUCCGUUUCAACUUAUCUCAAAAGUGAGGACCUCAACCUAUAUACCAGUUUUUAAAUUGUGUUGAUAGGCCAAAUAAAACCAGAGUUAUGAUAAAUUAUGUCCGCGAUACUUGUUUUCUGCUUAUUUUGAUCACGUUCGGCGCUCGAUCGCGCUGUAUGAGACAGGAAAACAUAGCAUGCAGACAUUAGCGACAGGUCUUACAGGCGGAAAAGGCUUGCCAAAGGAAAAAAAAAACACACCACAACAUCUCUCCUAUUGGUGGAAAACUUCACCACAACAACCAAUCCAAAAUUAUAUGGUGACUGAUUGACAAGGGGCGGGCGCUUACGUUCUUCCUGCAAUAUGAGAAGGGAGGGAGGGACUCUCAGCAGGGAUGCAGUCUGGGACACGUAGUUGCAAACCUAGCGACUUUGUUGUUAGAUUCAAUGACUUUUCAGACCCCCUAACAACUUUUUUUUUAGAAAGAAAGUGACUUUUAUCGACUUCUUCUGGAGUUUAGAGACUCUGACAUGAAGCAGGCUUUCCUUACUGAGGAGUUAGCAACGCUGCUAAGGGUGCAGAGCCACACAUGCGCUCCGAGCUCUGCAUGGGAGACUGAAGCUGACAGAGCUGCAGCAGUUAGCAGGUUUCACCCUCAGAGACCACCAGGGGUUCAUGUUGAGGCAUUUUCAGUUUUUUUUUUUUUUUUGCCAUAGACACUGUCAGCACAAUCUGCAGUUACACUAACAAAAAUGCUGCAAAAAACAAAGAAUUAUGGAAAAAUUACACAUGGACUAACAUAGAGGAGGAUCUACACAAGUUUUUUACAUCAUGUUUUACAUCAUGCAUCAUUUACAUCAUGUUUUUUUGUAGUGGCAUAAAUAAAAAGUGACAUUUGUGAGACUAUACAGUGUUUUGUAAAUAAUUUUACAAAGAACACCUGGGCCAUUGCCUGCAUUUUGAUGUAAAUAGAGGUAAAUUACUAUGUUCUUUGUUAAAAAUUUGCAUAUGUUUUGAAGUUUACAAUUUUAAUUUGAAGUUUAAGUUUUAAAAACAGUUCAUCACACAUAUUUGUGGUUUUCACAGUAAAAACGUUACUUUUUUCCACUCGGAUUUUAUGUUUUGUGUGUGAAUUUGGGUCCAAUGUGUAAAUAUAGUAUGUCAAAAUGAUAAAAUAACUGUAAAUUGACACAGGUGAGGUUGUGCUGAAAAAAAUGAUACCAGGCAAGGCAAGGUAAAAAUUUUGUAAGAGGAAAUAUAAAGGUAAAAUCUAAAGUAGUCAAAAACGGCCAAUAGUGACUCACAGACUCCACAGACAAGUCCCUUUGGCGCCACUCAGUGGGCAAAACUACUUUGUCUACUGUAAUGUAUAUUUGGGUCAUCUUUGGCGCCCCCUAAAACGUAAACCGUGGGGUGCAGCGUCAUGAUUUUUACAACUUUGAAUGGCCAUGGAGUGUAGAUUGGCCUGAGCAAAUUUGGUGUCAGUGGGACGAAAGCCUUAGGAGGAGUUAGCGAAAUUCCAAUGUGUGCGAAUCGGCAAAAAAUGCAAAAUAGCCCUUUUACCGUACAUUAUACAGAUACGCGCUCUUUGACUUUUUCGUAGAUCUAAUUGAGAUACACAUGAUUGUCAAUUUUUGUGUCAUUUUGACAAAGCGUACAGGCGUGACAGUCAACAAUGUGUAUUUUCACCUUAGGGGACAAGAAAAAAUGGACUUUUUUCUCCUGCCAUGGGGGGGCGCUCUUUUAGGGAGUAAAAAUUCCUUCACAAAUGUGUUGAUGGCUGGACAUUGCAUCAUCCUAGAAAACUUGGAGGCCAGUGAGGACAAAAAUAAAAAGUUAUAAGACUUUUAAAAAUGUGGAUUUUUGGGUUAUCUUUGGCGCCCCCUAGAACGUAAACCGUGGGGUGCAGCGUCAUGAUUUGAAUAACUUUUAAUGGCCAUGGGGUGUAGAUUGGCCUGAGCAAAUGUGGUGCCGGUGGAACGAAAGCCUUCGGAGGAGUUAGCGAAAUUCCAAUGUGUGCGAAUCGGCAAAAAAUGCGGAAUAACCCUUUAACCGUACAUUUGACAGAUACGCGCGCAUGGACUUU